rnacentral:lncRNA from 1 species
GUGUAUCUUGUCUCUUAGAGUUGUGCUCUGGAAAGAGAGAAAAGAAAAGAGACAAGAUGGAAAAAAAAAGGAAAAAAUACAGAAAAAUGAGAAAAAUUAAAAAAAAUUGUUUUGUGAAUAAUGGAGUCAAGAAGAGGAUUGAAUUAGAGGUUUAGGUGUGUUUGACUGUGUUUACACUUAUUCCCCAUUCCUCCUCUAUUUCUUUUGGUUUAUAGCUUCUCAUCCAUAUUAUAUCCUCCCUUUUCCUUGGC